rnacentral:misc_RNA from 1 species
UCUCCGUAGGUGAACCUGCGGAAGGAUCAUUAUUGAGAUGUUACGGCGCCCUGUUAGUUGUUGCACUGUAGAGUCAGUGCUGGCUUCUGAAGUAUGUGCACGCUUUACUUGUAGCUCUAACUUGGUGAUAGCCGUUUCUUAUCCAUCCACCUGUGCACUUUUUGUAGGAGUUUUUAUUAGGUUGGCUUUCAAGUCGAAAGACUUUGUUAGUUGGCGUAAUAGGACUUCUAUGUCUUUACAAACCAUUGAAGUAUGUCUAGAAUGUAAUUUUACUGGGACGUCAUUGACCCUUUAAACUUUAUACAACUUUCAGCAACGGAUCUCUUGGCUCUC